GUGUGACAUCGGGUAUGAUGAUAUUGGAAUAAGACAACUAAAGAGAGCCAUGCUAGGGAACUACCUCUUCAUGUGUUCCGUAUUAGUCAUGGCAUCUACCGCUUUUAAAAAUACAGGAAAUAGACCAUGUGAACGAAUGAAAAACCAGUGUCAAGGACAUACAAGGCCGAAUUGUCUCUUCAUGAAACAUAACACAAGAGGCUGGCCCAAAUUUAUGUGCACUUUGAAGAGUCAAGAGUGUCAUUCGGCAUGGGGAAGAGAAUGUGGAAAUUUUGUUUCAAUUUCUUGCUAUAUACACAAAAACUACUGUGAAUGCUUAUGUGAGCUUCGUCCAAACAACAAAUCAAGGGCACGAAGUCCUAGAAGAUCAAGCCCAGGACGGAAGCAGCUCCUUCUUGGAAAGCGCCAUUGUCACCGACAAAGCAAAUGAGCAUGUGCCCACUUUUGUCAUGGUCAUGUUUCUGAAUUCUAUGCCGUACUUCCAGGAAGCAUUCUUUGGCACUUUGAAAAGUCAUAAUGCUAGGUUUCGAAACAUGUCCUCGCACAGGCAUUUUUGGGCUCUUCAGUAGAGCCCUAGCGGCCUAGAUGCCAGCAACACAAUAGAAUAAAUUCUAUGUUUUUGUGAUUUAAGAAAUAACCUGAA